CCGUAAUCCUAUAUAUUUUCUAUAGGCUACACACUCACAAUGACAUAAACUGUGCUGACGCCGCAGUGCUAAAUAAGCUCAGAGUAGCCAGCAUGUGACUGUAUAUUGAAGUACUACUUUCUUAGGUUUCACAACUGCUGCCCUCUUGAGGUUGACACUGUGCCCAGUGGAGGAAUGUCUGGUACCCAUCUGGGAUCAACUGUGGGUGGACACCUGGAUCCUGAAUGUGUGGGCAAAAAUUGCUGUUUGGACUCAUUCUGAUGGCAUUCAUUCACUGCGGAGAAUCACGAGAACUGAUGUAAUGGGACAUUUCUCCAAAUCAAACAAGUUCAUCUACAUCCUGGAUGUCCUGAG